rnacentral:pre_miRNA from 1 species
UACGUACUCCCUCCGUUUCGAAUUACUUAUCACAGAAAUGGAUGUAUCUAGAACUAAAAAAUAUCUAGAUACAUCCAUUUCUACGACAAGUAAUUCCGAACGGAGGGAGUAUAUA